AGUGAACGCUGGCGGUAGGCCUAACACAUGCAAGUCGAACGGCAGCACAGUAAGAGCUUGCUCUUACGGGUGGCGAGUGGCGGACGGGUGAGGAAUACAUCGGAAUCUACUUUUUCGUGGGGGAUAACGUAGGGAAACUUACGCUAAUACCGCAUACGACCUACGGGUGAAAGCAGGGGAUCUUCGGACCUUGCGCGAUUGAAUGAGCCGAUGUCGGAUUAGCUAGUUGGCAGGGUAAAGGCCCACCAAGGCGACGAUCCGUAGCUGGUCUGAGAGGAUGAUCAGCCACACUGGAACUGAGACACGGUCCAGACUCCUACGGGAGGCAGCAGUGGGGAAUAUUGGACAAUGGGCGCAAGCCUGAUCCAGCCAUACCGCGUGGGUGAAGAAGGCCUUCGGGUUGUAAAGCCCUUUUGUUGGGAAAGAAAAGCAGCAGGUUAAUACCCCGCUGUUCUGACGGUACCCAAAGAAUAGCACCGGCUAACUUCGUG
rnacentral:rRNA from 1 species